rnacentral:rRNA from 1 species
AUUGAACGCUGGCGGCAGGCUUAACACAUGCAAGUCGAGCGAGCGGCGGACGGGUGAGUAAUGUCUGGGAAACUGCCUGAUCGAGGGGGAUAACUACUGGAAACGGUAGCUAAUACCGCAUACUAUCAGAUGAGCCCAGAUGGGAUUAGCUCGUAGGUGGGGUAAUGGCUCACCUAGGCGACGAUCCCUAGCUGGUCUGAGAGGAUGACCAGCCAAACGGGAACUGAGACACGGUCCAGACUACUACGGGAGGCAGCAGUGGGGAAUAGUGCACAAUGGGCGCAAGCCUGAUGCAGCCAUGCCGCGUGUAGGAAGAUGGCCUUGGGGUUGUAAAGGACUUUCAGCGAGGAGGCGUUACUCGCAGAAGAAGCACCGGCUAACUCCGUGCCAGCCGCCGCGGUAAUUC